rnacentral:rRNA from 1 species
AGUGGCGAAAGGGGCAGUAAGGCGUGGGUAACCUACCCUGGGGACCGGGAUAGCCUUCCUAACGGAUGGGUAAUACCGGGCGAUCUGCCGAGGGGGCAUCUCCUUGUCAGGAAAUGAGUUUCGCCUCGGGAGGGGCUCACGUGAUAUUAGCUAGUUGGUGAGGGGACGGCCCCCACCAAGGCGAAGAUGUCUAGCGGGUGUGAGAGCACAACCCGCGCCACUGGCACUGAGACACUGGCCAGACACCUACGGGUGGCUGCAGUCGAGGAUCUUCGGCAAUGGGCGCAAGCCUGACCGAGCGACGCCGCGUGUGCGAUGAAGGCCUUCGGGUUGUAAAGCACUGUCGAGGGGGAGGAAGGCCGCAAGGCUUGACCUAUCCCUGGAGGAAGCACGGGCUAAGUUCGUGCCAGCAGCCGCGGUAAGACGAACCGUGCGAACGUUGUUCGGAAUCACUGGGCUUAAAGGGCGCGUAGGCGGACCAUCAAGUCCGGGGUGAAAGCCCCCAGCUCAACUGGGGAAGUGCCUUGGA